AACGAACGUUAGCGGCGCGCCUAACACAUGCAAGUCGAGCGAGAAAGGGGCAACCCGGUAAAGCGGCGCACGGGUGAGUAACACGUAGGUAAUCUACCCUCGGGUGGAGGAUAACCUUCCGAAAGGAGGGCUAAUACUGCAUGAGACCACGACCUCGAAAGGGGAUGGGGUCAAAGCCGGCCACUGUACACAAGCUGGCGCCUGAGGAUGAACCUGCGGCCCAUCAGCUAGUUGGUAGGGUAACGGCCUACCAAGGCGAAGACGGGUAGCUGGUCUGAGAGGAUGAUCAGCCACACUGGAACUGAGACACGGUCCAGACGUCCUACGGGAGGCAGCAGUGGGGAAUCUUGCGCAAUGGGCGAAAGCCUGACGCAGCGACGCCGCGUGAGUGAUGAAGGCCUGGUU
rnacentral:rRNA from 1 species